AAAAAAAAAAAGGUUAAAAAAAGGGAAGCAAAUUAGCUUGCAAAGGAAAUCUAAAUCUGAGAAUAGUAUUCCUGCUGUGUAUAUAGUUUUCCUGCUGAUGGAGGCAUUAAAUGCCAGGCUGAUAUCAGUGUGUGGAUUUGGGGAUUCUGAUGACAAAGCUGUUUCUGCCUUCUGGUUUUACCUUCUUGACCCCCGGGGCUUCACCGUGGUCACCUACUUUACCUAUCUCAUAUAUCAAAAUCAUCUGUCGGGAAACAAUCUGUAAAUCUUUCACAACAGGCACAAAUGGAAAAUCUCAUGAAUAUUUAUAUUUUGUCUAGAAUAAAUGCUUUGAGACAAUGAAGUACAAUGGUGAAAUUUCUGCAUGAGGUAAGCAAAAAAGACUUGGGAAGUAGGCAUGUAUGUGGCAUCUAUGUCUUGCAUCAGUUGGUGAUUGCCUCUCCUUUGUUUUCCCAUACAGUGGGUGUUUCUUUGAUUCAAAAACUUGUUCUGACACUUUGCUAAGCCUGAAGCAUGUAUUUUGCUUCUAUAUCCUCUGUGGACCAGCCUCUUAUUCAUGUCUUCUGCCUACAGCUGUCAAGAAGGCAUGGCUCCUUCAGUGAGAUGUACACAGACAUGCCGAGAUAGAAUGGGAUGAUGCAUCUAGGGCAAACCUGUCUUGGGGCUGUGCCUGCCCCGGAGCACCUCUCUGGUUCCUGGGAUGCUAAGACUUGGUGGAGUUGUGUAAUCAACAGAGGACAGAUUAUGAAUCUAAAGCCAAGCUACCUUCAAAAGUAUGGUUCCAGCAAACCUUUCAUUAUCUCCUUACAUUGCUCAUGCCUCGUGUCUUUCUAAUUCCUAACCAAAAUCUGAUUCAGAACCAAAUUCUUUCUCAUACAUUCAAGAUAUUGCUAUGUUGUUCCACGACUUGGGUACUUCCUGUCAUCUGUCAAAUCCACUCUAAAUUCUCAGAAUGGCACUGAAUUACUCAAGGUGACAUUAAAGAAAUGGGGAACAAAUCUAUUAUUCAUUAGAAGCAUGAUUUGUGUAGUCUUCUGGGACAGUUAGGGGCUUCAAAGUGAUUUCUGCUGAAACCUGUGUCUCUUUACUUAAACCUACAGAAUGCAGUAUGUAACUAAAAGUAGAACAAAGCUUGACCUUCAUUUGAUAAAACUCCAGGUCAUGUCUUUCUCAGAUCUGCAUAGCAUGUUAGUCAUUUCGGAAAUGUCUGUGCAAAAGUUGGUGAAGCAAGUUUUAUUAGGCCUAAACUGAUCCAGUGAACCUCAUCAGUGAUCAACACCGAGAACACCAAGAGGAGAGAUUUAUGGGAACACUCAGCAAUGCGCAGGAAUUUCCACUGACCUAAAUUUAUGGUUGCUUAGUUUCCAACAGAGCCUCACAUGACUCUCAAAUCACGAAUACUCAUCUUAUGGGAACCAAAGUACCUCUCAAGUCAUGGGACCUUGUCUAGGGCUAUGAAAUCAGGACUGAGAUAAUAAUCAGCUGGAAUCUAGCCCACUCCAGCAUCCCAUAAAGCUGGUGUCUGUUCUUUUGUGAACAGGCCACUCUGCUCCACCUCCUCAGAACUGGG
rnacentral:lncRNA from 1 species